AGACUAUGGGGAGAGAGGGUGGGUAGGGUGAGAUCCCUUCCACCGUAAACAGAGGCUCAGUGAGGCCAGUAAAGCAGGCAGGCAUACUCACUUCAACAAGUGCUACACAAUAUGUUGAGUAUGAGGAAAAUAUUCUGGCCCUGCCUUUUCAAACUGAUCUGGAAUCCGUGGUAUGGCUGGGACACUAAUAUCCCUACUGCCUCUCAUGAGGUGAAUGCCAGCCGGUAUACCAAAAAGAUGUCAGUAGACUCUGAAGUAAAGGCUGAGAACACUGAGUAGAGAACAAUAUGAUAAAAUAUUUAAAUGACUCCGAAGUUUCCAGAGGGCUGAGACCAUGCUCAGAUGAAACAGGAGCCAUUGCAGCGAAAUCCAAAAUGCAAACCUUUAUCAUUAACUCCCACAAGAUAGCAAUCAGGCAGACAAAAGAGAGGCCAAUUCCAUGAAUGGCCUGCUGUCUCUCUGACAGAAAGCUGCCCAAGGCUAACUACCCCACCUGGUAUCUGGCACCUACUUGAAGAGAAUCUUGGAGGGACUAUUGGGCUUUACUGGGCUAAGACUUCGUCUUCACAGCAGGAAAAAACAUCUACAGCAACAACUCCAUUUUUUGAAAAGAGAAAAAAAAAUCCUGGCCUCCACAACUCUGCAUUUUGAUAAGCCGUGGUUUUCUACAAAGAUCCUCUGUUGCAAAAAUAUUCUUGAUAAGGGAUGAGAACUAUAGCUAUUUGUGGAUGUAAAGGCACUUCUUAAAAUAUAGUUAGAUUACGCUUGUUCAGAAAACCAUAGGUAGUGGGUUCUCCUCCAAGACCCAUGAAUUCACUAUCCCUGGGCCUAGGCAGCAGCUAGGCUUCAAUAGCAGGUAUGAUUUUCCUCUUGUUGAACAGGCCGUAAGUUCUGUUUGGAGAGAUGUUGGUUCCUGAGAAGGUCUGUGUCAGUGCUGCAUGUUUAGGGUUUUAGAAGCAAGCUGCUUAUUGUUGUGAUUCAUGGGCACCAUGGCUGGUGCAACUACAGCAUAAACUCCUGCACCAAAAGCACGGGCACCAUUACAGAAGAGGGAGUAGCAGGAGUAAGAUCCGGAAGAACAGGGAUAUGGCUGUAAGUAGGUGUCUCCUAUCAAUGUCAGAAGCUGCAUCCAUAAAGGCUCACUAACACGACUACCUAAACAUGAGCUGAGUGUGAAGGAGAGCAAGGCAUGUUCAUGUGGACAGGAGAACUCCCAGGAGGCCUCAAUCAUCCACAAAGACUAAUGAGCAACGUAGAAAUGCUGAGAGGAAGAGAAAUCGUCUCCUCCCAGGGACUUCCGGAGACUAGGAAAACAAUGUAAAAGAGGUUUCAAAUCAUGAGUGUACACAGUUGCCCUCUUCAGACAAGCCAGAAGAGGGCAUUGGAUUCCAUGGCAGAUGGUUGUGAGCCACCAUGUGGUUGAUGGAAAUUGAACUCAGGAACUCUUGAAGAGCAGUCAGUGUGCUUAACUGCUGAACCCUCUCUGCAGCCCAGAAUUCCAUUUCUAAAGAGUCCAGUUAGAGUUGCCAGUAAGUGCACAGAUACAGUGUCCUCUGGUAGAGCAUAAAAACUUGCCAGUGACUACACCUUGAAAAGAUGAACUCUCCAUCCCAGAGUGCCAGGAGCUCCUCAGUUUGGGGCAGGGCCUCAAAGCUCCUUCCCCAUCGAUACUGACUUGUUGAGCAGCUUGUUCUAGAGCAGGUCCUGUCCAGGCAACUACUUUAUACUUACACAGGAGAGGUCCUUUCACGUCCAGAAAACAAUGAUUCAUCACAGUCCUCCCUGACCGACUGCUCUUACAGCGUUCCCUCUCUCUCUUCAGUGACAUCUCUUGAGCCUUCCAGAUUAUCACCAUCGUUUUAUACAAUGAAGAAAUUACAAGAAGUGCAUGCCGACAGGAGCCUGAUAUAGCUGUCUCCGGAGAGGCUCUGCCAGAG
rnacentral:sRNA from 1 species